rnacentral:rRNA from 1 species
AUGCACGCUGGCGGCGUGCUUCACCCCUGCCAGUCGAACGAAGCACUUUAUUUGAUUUCCUUCGGGACUGAUUAUUUUGUGACUGAGUGGCGGACGGGUGAGUAACGCGUGGGUAACCUGCCUUGUACAGGGGGAUAACAGUUGGAAACGGCUGCUAAUACCGCAUAAGCGCACAGCAUCGCAUGAUGCAGUGUGAAAAACUCCGGUGGUAUAAGAUGGACCCGCGUUGGAUUAGCUAGUUGGUGAGGUAACGGCCCACCAAGGCGACGAUCCAUAGCCGACCUGAGAGGGUGACCGGCCACAUUGGGACUGAGACACGGCCCAAACUCCUACGGGAGGCAGCAGUGGGGAAUAUUGCACAAUGGGCGAAAGCCUGAUGCAGCGACGCCGCGUGAGCGAAGAAGUAUUUCGGUAUGUAAAGCUCUAUCAGCAGGGAAGAUAAUGACGGUACCUGACGAAGAAGCACCGGCUAAAUACGUG